AAGUCGUAACAAGGUUUCCGUAGGUGAACCUGCGGAAGGAUCAUUAUUGAAACUUCUUUGGAGAUAGUACUGUUGCUGGCCUUGUAAUGAGGUAUGUGCACGUCUAUCUCUAAUCUAUUCAUCCACCUGUGCACUUAUUGUAGGAGUUCUUUGAGGCUAUUUUGUACUUGUGCAAUUUGGCUUUACAAGGCUUCUAUGUCUUAACAAACCAUUAGUAUGUCUCUGAAUGUUUUUUUAUUGGGACUUGAUUGGCCCUUUAAACUUGUACAACUUUUAGCAACGGAUCUCUUGGCUCUCC
rnacentral:misc_RNA from 1 species